GCUGCUGAAAUAGAACAUAUUUGAAGAAAAAAAAUUAAACGCAUACUCAAAAAACUAUUUGAAGCUGACAUUGUUGGCAAGAUAAAACAACCAAACUGUAUUUCAAAGAAAGAAACAAGAUAAAAGUUACAGCAUUUAAAAACAUAGCAAUAUCAGGUGUAGAGAAAGCUCAGACCAGUGUGUUUGCAGACAAUAUGAAGAAAGGCUCAGCUUCACACAAAAAAGCAACAGAAGAUUAGAAGUACCAUAAUUUCAUUAAGUACAAUUGCUGUAAAGUAUUCAUUUUCAUUCUCUCCCUCUGAAGUAUCAGACUGCAGGAAAAGUAGAAAGAAUAGUAAAGAAACAUUAAUAUUUUUUAAGCUAGACUUAAGAUUACAUAGAUAAACUCUGAAAUGCUAAAGGUAAUUUUCAGUAUAUGAACGAGGGUGUAGAUGGCUCCUUCUACAAUUUCCAAUAAAGUAAAAGCAAAUGAGAUUGUAAAAGCAUAAUCCUCUCUUGUUAAAAGAAGUAGAAGAAUCUAUAUCACAGUUUUCCUACAUUUUCUCCUGUCCUCCCACUUGUCUUUUUCUGUAACAACUUCACCUCCAUACUCUCAUAAGAAGCUCUGCCUAACAAAAUUCUUUGACCAUUCAUUAUUUCACUUUUAACCAACUACUAGUUAUGUACAUAAUUCUAUGUCUCUGGUAAAACAGAAUACUAUUUCAUUUGGGCCUCACUAUGUUUCACUUGGCCUGAGAUUUUCUUUAGUAUCAAUAUGUUGGCCAGAAUGACAGGGUUCUUAUCCUGAAGUCAGCAAAGGUUUGUUACGCAUUUCCGCUAGUCCAGCUAUCUGUCCAAGAAGAAUGCUCCUCCAGUCCUUCAUGUACUUUGGAAUCACGCCUAGAUAAUGAUUAUUUAUGUUAAGAGUUAAGAUUUUGAGAUUCCUCUUCCAUUUCACUCACCUUUCAGCUGAUAUAGCACAUUGUUCUGUCAAAAGUGAUUUGACAGGAAGAAAGUGAGGAGAGAAAAAGGAGAGGAAAAUGACCUGUCUGUCCUUAAAAUGAUCUGGCAUAUACAUCCUGUUAAGAUACACAGACAGACUUCAUUUCCAGUAACUCGCAAAUUUACACAGGAUACAUCCUCAGUGGAGAAAAAAAGAUUAGAGCAAAGACACCCCCCACAGAAGAAAAGGCUGUGGAGGAUGCUUUAGUAAUGCAAUGUCUCGCAGUUACACAACAGUGUUAUUUCAGUCACAAGACACAGUGUGUUAUGUCCACCACUACUGACUGGUCUUUUGGCAGCUGACAUCUCAAAACAUUCCACAAUGGAAAUGCAAUGAACAUUAUCAGCAAUAUACUGAAAUUCUCUUAAGAUCACUAUGCAAAACCAGAAUAGAAUAUUUUAACUGCAAACAGCUAUUUUGGCUGAAAUAUCAUUCUAGGGGCAUUUUAUAUGAUAGUGUCCAACAGUUGUGUCCAAGGAUGAAAUGGUAAACUCAGAUUAUGCAGCAUUAUGAUGGGUCAAAAAUGUGAUUAAUCUAGAGUAAAAAUUGACUAAGAUGGCCAGGAGUAUCAACAAAAAAAGUUUUGUAUAAAAACUGUGCAAGAUGUUUCCUCUGGAACACAAGAGACAGGCAAGGCAUGGAAAGAAUAAAGGUCCUCGUUAUUGUCAGAUAUUCAGAGAAAGCAACAGAACCUUGACAAAGAUGGACAUUGGUUAGGAUAAAAUCUCAAUUUUUUAACACUAAUUAUUUCUCUCUUCAUUGCAUUCAAUUUAUCUGCAAAAGGUCAGUCAAUCUAUUUGCGUACUGUGACGUAAUAAAACUUCAUAGACUUGGAUGGGUUGUGGCAAUACUUAUCGAUACAAGCUGUAGGAUUCAAGGAUAGAGCACAGUCCUGCUGAAAAGGACUUGGGGAUACUGGUGGAUGGUAAGCAGGACACAAACCAUCAAUGUAUCUUUGCAGCCAAGAAAGCCAAACAUAUCCUGGGCUGCAUCAAAAAAAACAUGACAGGCAGGUCAAGGAAAGUGAUCCUGCCCCUCUACUUCGCACUGGUGAGGCCCCAAUUGGAGUACUCUGCCCAAAUGUGCAGUUCUCAAUACAGAAUAGACAUGGCCUUGUUGGAAAGUAUCCAGAGGAAGGCCACAAAAACUAUCCAAGGGAUGGAAAACCUUCCCUACGAAGACAGGCGGAGAGAGCUGGGGCUGUUUGACAUGGAAUUGCUGGAGCAGGUGCAGAGGAGGGCCACAGAGAUGAUCAAAAGGGCUGGAGCACCUCCCCUGUUUGGACAGCUGGGAAAGCUGCAGCUCUUCAGCCUGGAUAAAAGGCGGCUCCAUGGAGACCUUAUGGCAGCCUUCCAGCACCUGAAGAGGGCCUACAGGAAAGCUGGGGAGGGACUUUUUGUAAGGGCAGGUAGCAAGGGAAAAUGGUUUCAAACUGGAAGAAGGAAGAUUUAGUCUAGAUAUUGGGAAGAAAUUCCUUACUGUGAGGAUCGUGAGACACUGCAACAGGUUGCCCAGUGAAGUUGUGGAUGCCUCCUCCCUGGAAGCAUUCAAAACAAGGCUGGACAGGACUCCGAGCAACUUGGUCUAGAGGAAGGUGUCCCUGCCUUUAGUAGGGGGAGUUGGAACUACAUGAUCUUAAAGGUUCCUUCCAACCCAAACUACUCUAUAAUUACAUCAUUCUGUGAUUAAACCCAGAGAAGAUUAGGCUUCAGGGGGGCUUGACAGCAGCUUAACAAAAUCUACAAGAAAGAAGGGACUUUCUAGUGGGGCUUGCUCUGACAGGACUGAGAUGGCUGUAAAUUAAAGGAGGGAAGAUUAACAUUGGAUAUAAGGAGUAAGAUUUUAUAAUAAGGGUGGUUAGGCACUGGAACAGGUUGCUCAGAGAGGGUUUGCAUGCUCCAUUCUUGGAGACAUUUGAGGCCAAGCUGGAAUGGACUCUAAGCAAUAUGUCCUAGCUGCAGAUGUCUCUGAAAAAGCAUGAAAAAAGAAAGCAAUGCUUAAAAAAAAAUAAAAUUGAGUGAGGUUUUGCCAAACACUCUAAUAAAAGGACACCUACAGGAUUAACAGCAAGGUACUAAAGUAGAAAUCCGGUAUAUGUACAGCCUUACUGAAAUAGCCUUUAGAGGGAUGAGUACACAAUUAACUCUAAGAUAAAACAAUAAUUAAGAACUCCAGAACUGUGACAAUAAAUAUUUAGGGCAACUCUGACUAUGCAGUCCAAACAUAAAUUCAUUGACAUUCUUCUAUCUCAAAUGUUAGAAGAAAUAGUAUAUGGAAUGAAGUAUUUGGGGUAGAACUUUUAGAAAAUACAUUAAAAUAGGAAAUACUUUAUGAAAUCUGAGAUAAUUUGAAACCUGAUCCUUGGUCCUCUGAGUCAUAAAUCUGUCAACACAUGUAUAGCAUUUCUUUCAAAAUAACUGAAAUCUUCGUUGCUCUGAAGUUUAGGGAUGCAGUGGAUAAGUAGUCUUAUCUCCCACAACACAAACAUCUACUUAAAGGUGUGUUUUCCAGGAACUGAAUAUGCCCAUUCAAUUACACAACUGCAAGUAUAUACCUAUGAAAAGUUGCAAGUAUAAAAAAUAUAAUCCAUAAAAUUCAUAUAGCUGCUGAUGAAAAUUUUGACUAGCACAUUCCUGCAGACUGGUAUUAGUUAGACUACUUCCUUCACCCAGGAGAGUGGAUUUUUCAUAGUAUCUCUUAUCUUCAGUAAAGGGUGAGGUUGUGGAAACAAAAGCUAUGUAGGGAAAAAAAACUGCACAAAAUCUGGGAAUUUUCAGCAAAAUUUACUAAGCAACCCACAUAAACUAGAAUUUGUGCAUUGUGGAUUUGUUGUUGUUGCUGCUGUUAUUUGCCACCUUUUUUCUCUUCCUAACAAAAAAAUAUAUCUUCAUCACCCAGCAGAUCCAUUCAAAAGUUGCUCCUUGUAAGCCCAAGACAUGUUCAUCUGCAGCCACUGAAUAUUACUUGAAAAUUCUAUCAAGUUAUAUUCUGAAGUUCAUCUUUGAUAAUGUCUUGGAGAGCUACUGCAGAGAGGCAUGAACACAUAUGCCUGCAGAAGAAACAUAUUAGUACUGCGGACAUAGCCACAUUCUUCUGCAUCAAAAAACACUUUCACUCUUGCAUACAUUCAUUCUAAUUAAGAUCUCCCUAAACUCUGGAAUGAAUUCAGGCCAGAUAAUCAGUGAUAUUCUCAUUACGAAAUCUCACACCAGAAUACAUAUACAUUUUAUAUACCUCACCUACCCACUGCUGGAUUUGCCCUACAAGUGCAUUUCAGUCAUCCACAACAAAUUUAGCAAUCUAAAUCUAACUCUUAAUGCUGUGAACAACUUUACUUCUUUUACUCCAGAUUAGGUUUGGUAAAGACAAGAUUUUUUUUUAAUACCAGAAUCCCUUAACUCCUGCAGCUAUUACUCACAUUAGAAAUAAGAAUAAAAAAUUCUGAAAGUUGAAAGAGUCAGCAGCAUAAACUGAUCAUGUAAGAUGUAAAGUUCUGUAUAUUCUCAGUACAUAAUUUAAGACAAAAAAAUGCUUCUCAUUUCGCAUUUUCAGGAGGAGGAAUUAAACUGUGGCAAAAGCCUUUAACAGCAAUGGACGCACCAGCUCAAAAGUAUUUGUCUACAGAACAGUUACUGGAUCUUUAAAGAGGUGUAGCUGUUGUACAACAGGAACCAAUUUGGAGCCCUGCACUUUGAACUACAAUUUGCAAAUGAUGCCCACAGUGAAAAGAAGUCAACAUUACAUCCUCCACCUGUGCCACCAGUGAUUUCCAGGACCGAAUUAACAGACACCAAAAGCUCAGAGAAGAAGCCACUGUUUAUUGAUUAAACCUACAUACUCAUCUAGAUUAAACCUACAUACUCAUUUAAAUAUGAAGUAAAAUGCUGUGAAGCAAUAAGAUAAUAAUCUUUCAUGAGCACAUAAACGCUAUCUUUCUGACAUAUUGUAGGUAAGUCCUUACAUUCCAUGUGAUUUUGUGUGUUUGCAAAAAAGAAAGAAAAUAAAAAAUGGGACUAGGAAUUAUAAAAAUAUGCACCAUAUAUGACUCAACUUUAAGAUCAAGUCAACCACAGCAUCCUCCUCUUAAAACUACUGUAUUUAACAAAAGGUAGGGAGAGGAGCAAUCCUAUGGUAUCAGCUUAGAGCCAACUUAAAGCACAGAAGAUAUGUCAUUUUUACAUCCAAGUGAGAAAAAAACAUCACACAGCUAGCCCAAGAGAGUAAAGCCCAGUUGAAAUUCCUAUUAAAAAAACUUUUGCUAAAUGAUCAGAGAAACAGGUUUGAAUCAGACUAAAACUUUUGCCUUUGAAGGCUCAGAGCACCUCAUGGAAAACAAAUUCCUAUUUGCACCUCUGUCUGACAUGGUAUUACUAAGCACUCACAUCUGUCUUAAGACCCAGCUUUCAGCUUGGGAGCUGCAUUACUUUUAAUGUACAGAAUUUUGAUUUAAUAAGUGAUUACACUGGCAGCCUCAUUUAAGAACUGGUUUCAUAGGUGCAUUUCAUAAAGAACAUGAUUCUCAGGGCACAUAUUUACUGCUUGGUAACUAUUAAUGAAAAAUAGCAUGUCAUAUUGGACAGCUGAACAAUUAACUUACAGAAGUACCAGCAGAAAAUGCAUCUGACGUACAAAAUGCUCCUCAUCUCAGUGAAAUAUCAUUUUAAAAAAAAGAAAAAUCCUGAAGAUAUGCUAAAAGAUGCUUUAAUAGCCAAGCUAUUAAAAUAUGUAUGCUAUGAAUUUUUCAUUUCCAUCUGAACCUAAUACAUCCUCCAACAUGACACUAGUUUGCAUACCACUUCUCUUUAAGCUAAUAUACUGGUCUUCAAACAAAUCAAAACCUGCUUUGGUAUAAUAGUGUUGGGUCAGUAACACCAACUUCUAAAUAGUUCACAAUUUAUCAUUUAAAUUGAAGGAGGAGGGGACACAUAACAACAUGGCAUAAAAGCCCAACUCACAAACCCAGGCCAAACACCAGAAAACUUCAGAAAAAUCAUUGCAUGCCAAAAAGCUUGCAUAAAAAUAAUUGAUUAGAAUGUCCUAAGAAGGGAUAAAGUGAAGAGAGACUACACCGGAGCGCAUCUUCUCUGACCUCCUGGUGGUAGUUUUAUUCUUACCAAGGUUACUACUUUAUAAGGUCCUGAUUUUGUCUGGGAUGAGUUAAUUUUGUUCACAGUAGCUAGCAUGUACUAUGUUAUGAAUCUAGGAUGAAAAUAACACUGAUAACACACUGGUACUUAAGCUCUGCUGCACAGAGCAAAGAACAUUUCAUCUCCUCCCACUGCUCUGCCAGCAAGAAGCUAGAGGUGCAUAAAGAGCUGACAGAGGACAGAACCAGGGGAGCUGACCUAAACAGGAAAAAUAAGUGUCCCAUAACCUAUCAUAUCAUGCUCAACUGUAAAACUGGGCCAAAGAACAAGUAAUUGGGACACCUGGCAUGAUGGUGUUUGCUUUCCCAACUAACAGCUACGUGCAAUGAGCUCUGCUAUUCUGGAAGAGGCUAAACACAUUGACUGCUGAUGGGACACAGUGCAUUGUCUUGCCUUCACAAACCGCUUUUGCUUUACCUACAAAACUGCAUUUCAACCCACAAGUUCUGGUACUUUUUUUACCUUUGCAAUUUUCUUUCCCAGUGCUGCAGGGCCUGAGUGAUUGAGAAGCUGGGUAGUGCUGAGCUGGUUGCCGGGUUAAAACAUUACACUGUCAAAUACAACACUGCUUUCUCACCACCUUUUGAUUUUCAGGAAGGCUGGCUUGAGAUAUAUAACAGUCCUGUAAGUCAUUGAUAAUUAGCUCUUCCAUCUACAGGUAAACAGCUUACAGAACUGCCAGACUAGCUAAAGAUGAUGACUGAAUCAUCUGACAACUUGGUCUCUUAAAACAUGACAGAUACUAGCUGUGAAAUGGAGAGAAUGUUAGCUCAGCUUUUAAGGAAAAUUUAAGUAUUUUCUAUUCUAGGACAUAAAACAACACUGCAUGAUUGUCAAUUCUGAAUAGGAGGCAGUGGCACCAGUAGCUCAAUUGUUAGUAUAAUAACACAUUUACUAAUAUCAAAUACUCUUUUCUCCUACCCCUUAGCAAAGGAGCUUUUACAUAGAACACAGAAAUAUUAAAAGAAAGGAAGACAAAUGAAACUGAUCUUACAAUAACAGAUUAAUUUCUUUAAGAUGGUGUUCACAAUUUAUUCUUUCAGUUUGCCUUUAGAAAUCUGAGCUUCACUUCUGUAAAACACUGAGACAAGAUUUAAUGCUACACUGACAAUAAAACUUUCAAAA